rnacentral:lncRNA from 1 species
GAGAGAUCUCCGAAAGCGGGUAUUGCAAGAUAUCUCGUGUGGGAUCAGAUGUUGUCUCAGGCCCAUUGAACUUGAAGUGGGUAAAGAAAUAUUACACAUGAGAAGAGCAUCACAAAAAGUUAUACUUUCAACUUCAAAAGUAAUCGAGGCACCUGAUUAAGUACAACCCUCAGAAGUUACACUUUCAACUUUAAAAGUGAUCGAGGCACCUGACUAAGUACAGCCCUCGGAAGUUAAACUUUCAAACUUCAAAAGUGAUCGAGG